rnacentral:rRNA from 1 species
GGGUUGUGAGGUUAAGCGACUAAGCGUACACGGUGGAUGCCCUGGCAGUCAGAGGCGAUGAAGGACGUGCUAAUCUGCGAAAAGCGUCGGUAAGGUGAUAUGAACCGUUAUAGCCGGCGAUGUCCGAAUGGGGAAACCCAGUGUGAUUCGUCACACUAUCGUUAACUGAAUACAUAGGUUAACGAGGCGAACCGGGGGAACUGAAACAUCUAAGUACCCCGAGGAAAAGAAAUCAACCGAGAUUCCCCCAGUAGCGGCGAGCGAACGGGGAGCAGCCCAGAGUCUGAAUCAGCUUGUGUGUUAGUGGAACGGUCUGGAAAGUCCGACGGUACAGGGUGAUAGUCCCGUACACCAAAAUGCACAGGCUGUGAACUCGAAGAGUAGGGCGGGACACGUGGUAUCCUGUCUGAAUAUGGGGGGACCAUCCUCCAAGGCUAAAUACUCCUGACUGACCGAUAGUGAACCAGUACCGUGAGGGAAAGGCGAAAAGAACCCCGGCGAGGGGAGUGAAAAAGAACCUGAAACCGUGUACGUACAAGCAGUGGGAGCACCUUCGGGUGUGACUGCGUACCUUUUGUAUAAUGGGUCAGCGACUUAUAUUCUGUAGCAAGGUUAACCGUAUAGGGGAGCCGCAGGGAAACCGAGUCUUAACUGGGCGUUAAGUUGCAGGGUAUAGACCCGAAACCCGGUGAUCUAGCCAUGGGCAGGUUGAAGGUUGGGUAACACUAACUGGAGGACCGAACCGACUAAUGUUGAAAAAUUAGCGGAUGACUUGUGGCUGGGGGUGAAAGGCCAAUCAAACCGGGAGAUAGCUGGUUCUCCCCGAAAGCUAUUUAGGUAGCGCCUCGUGAACUCAUCUUCGGGGGUAGAGCACUGUUUCGGCUAGGGGGUCAUCCCGACUUACCAACCCGAUGCAAACUACGAAUACCGAAGAAUGUUAUCACGGGAGACACACGGCGGGUGCUAACGUCCGUCGUGAAGAGGGAAACAACCCAGACCGCCAGCUAAGGUCCCAAAGUCAUGGUUAAGUGGGAAACGAUGUGGGAAGGCACAGACAGCCAGGAUGUUGGCUUAGAAGCAGCCAUCAUUUAAAGAAAGCGUAAUAGCUCACUGGUCGAGUCGGCCUGCGCGGAAGAUGUAACGGGGCUAAACCAUGCACCGAAGCUGCGGCAGCGACACUAUGUGUUGUUGGGUAGGGGAGCGUUCUGUAAGCCUGCGAAGGUGACCUGUGAGGGUUGCUGGAGGUAUCAGAAGUGCGAAUGCUGACAUAAGUAACGAUAAAGCGGGUGAAAAGCCCGCUCGCCGGAAGACCAAGGGUUCCUGUCCAACGUUAAUCGGGGCAGGGUGAGUCGACCCCUAAGGCGAGGCCGAAAGGCGUAGUCGAUGGGAAACAGGUUAAUAUUCCUGUACUUGGUGUUACUGCGAAGGGGGGACGGAGAAGGCUAUGUUAGCCGGGCGACGGUUGUCCCGGUUUAAGCAUGUAGGCUGGUUAUCCAGGCAAAUCCGGAUAAUCAAGGCUGAGGUGUGAUGACGAGGCACUACGGUGCUGAAGUAACAAAUGCCCUGCUUCCAGGAAAAGCCUCUAAGCAUCAGGUAACAUCAAAUCGUACCCCAAACCGACACAGGUGGUCAGGUAGAGAAUACCAAGGCGCUUGAGAGAACUCGGGUGAAGGAACUAGGCAAAAUGGUGCCGUAACUUCGGGAGAAGGCACGCUGGUGUGUAGGUGAAGUCCCUGCGGAUGGAGCUGAGACCAGUCGAAGAUACCAGCUGGCUGCAACUGUUUAUUAAAAACACAGCACUGUGCAAACACGAAAGUGGACGUAUACGGUGUGACGCCUGCCCGGUGCCGGAAGGUUAAUUGAUGGGGUUAUCCGUAAGGAGAAGCUCUUGAUCGAAGCCCCGGUAAACGGCGGCCGUAACUAUAACGGUCCUAAGGUAGCGAAAUUCCUUGUCGGGUAAGUUCCGACCUGCACGAAUGGCGUAAUGAUGGCCAGGCUGUCUCCACCCGAGACUCAGUGAAAUUGAACUCGCUGUGAAGAUGCAGUGUACCCGCGGCAAGACGGAAAGACCCCGUGAACCUUUACUAUAGCUUGACACUGAACAUUGAGCCUUGAUGUGUAGGAUAGGUGGGAGGCUUUGAAGCGUGGACGCCAGUCUGCGUGGAGCCAACCUUGAAAUACCACCCUUUAAUGUUUGAUGUUCUAACGUUGGCCCCUUAUCGGGGUUGCGGACAGUGUCUGGUGGGUAGUUUGACUGGGGCGGUCUCCUCCCAAAGCGUAACGGAGGAGCACGAAGGUUAGCUAAUCCUGGUCGGACAUCAGGAGGUUAGUGCAAUGGCAUAAGCUAGCUUGACUGCGAGCGUGACGGCGCGAGCAGGUGCGAAAGCAGGUCAUAGUGAUCCGGUGGUUCUGAAUGGAAGGGCCAUCGCUCAACGGAUAAAAGGUACUCCGGGGAUAACAGGCUGAUACCGCCCAAGAGUUCAUAUCGACGGCGGUGUUUGGCACCUCGAUGUCGGCUCAUCACAUCCUGGGGCUGAAGUAGGUCCCAAGGGUAUGGCUGUUCGCCAUUUAAAGUGGUACGCGAGCUGGGUUUAGAACGUCGUGAGACAGUUCGGUCCCUAUCUGCCGUGGGCGCUGGAGAAUUGAGGGGGGCUGCUCCUAGUACGAGAGGACCGGAGUGGACGCAUCACUGGUGUUCGGGUUGUCAUGCCAAUGGCACUGCCCGGUAGCUAAAUGCGGAAGAGAUAAGUGCUGAAAGCAUCUAAGCACGAAACUUGCCCCGAGAUGAGUUCUCCCUGAGACUUUAAGUCUCCUGAAGGAACGUUAAAGACGAUGACGUUGAUAGGCCGGGUGUGUAAGCGCAGCGAUGCGUUGAGCUAACCGGUACUAAUGAACCGUGAGGCUUAACCUUACAACGCCGAAG